rnacentral:rRNA from 1 species
UUAAGCGACUAAGCGUACACGGUGGAUGCCCUGGCAGUCAGAGGCGAUGAAGGACGUGCUAAUCUGCGAUAAGCGUCGGUAAGGUGAUAUGAACCGUUAUAACCGGCGAUUUCCGAAUGGGGAAACCCAGUGUGUUUCGACACACUAUCAUUAACUGAAUCCAUAGGUUAAUGAGGCGAACCGGGGGAACUGAAACAUCUAAGUACCCCGAGGAAAAGAAAUCAACCGAGAUUCCCCCAGUAGCGGCGAGCGAACGGGGAGCAGCCCAGAGCCUGAAUCAGUGUGUGUGUUAGUGGAAGCGUCUGGAAAGGCGCGCGAUACAGGGUGACAGCCCCGUACACAAAAAUGCACAUGCUGUGAGCUCGAUGAGUAGGGCGGGACACGUGGUAUCCUGUCUGAAUAUGGGGGGACCAUCCUCCAAGGCUAAAUACUCCUGACUGACCGAUAGUGAACCAGUACCGUGAGGGAAAGGCGAAAAGAACCCCGGCGAGGGGAGUGAAAAAGAACCUGAAACCGUGUACGUACAAGCAGUGGGAGCACGCUUCGGCGUGUGACUGCGUACCUUUUGUAUAAUGGGUCAGCGACUUAUAUUCUGUAGCAAGGUUAACCGAAUAGGGGAGCCGAAGGGAAACCGAGUCUUAACUGGGCGUUAAGUUGCAGGGUAUAGACCCGAAACCCGGUGAUCUAGCCAUGGGCAGGUUGAAGGUUGGGUAACACUAACUGGAGGACCGAACCGACUAAUGUUGAAAAAUUAGCGGAUGACUUGUGGCUGGGGGUGAAAGGCCAAUCAAACCGGGAGAUAGCUGGUUCUCCCCGAAAGCUAUUUAGGUAGCGCCUCGUGAAUUCAUCUCCGGGGGUAGAGCACUGUUUCGGCAAGGGGGUCAUCCCGACUUACCAACCCGAUGCAAACUGCGAAUACCGGAGAAUGUUAUCACGGGAGACACACGGCGGGUGCUAACGUCCGUCGUGAAGAGGGAAACAACCCAGACCGCCAGCUAAGGUCCCAAAGUCAUGGUUAAGUGGGAAACGAUGUGGGAAGGCCCAGACAGCCAGGAUGUUGGCUUAGAAGCAGCCAUCAUUUAAAGAAAGCGUAAUAGCUCACUGGUCGAGUCGGCCUGCGCGGAAGAUGUAACGGGGCUAAACCAUGCACCGAAGCUGCGGCAGCGACGCUGAUGCGUUGUUGGGUAGGGGAGCGUUCUGUAAGCCUGUGAAGGUGUGCUGUGAGGCAUGCUGGAGGUAUCAGAAGUGCGAAUGCUGACAUAAGUAACGAUAAAGCGGGUGAAAAGCCCGCUCGCCGGAAGACCAAGGGUUCCUGUCCAACGUUAAUCGGGGCAGGGUGAGUCGACCCCUAAGGCGAGGCCGAAAGGCGUAGUCGAUGGGAAACAGGUUAAUAUUCCUGUACUUGGUGUUACUGCGAAGGGGGGACGGAGAAGGCUAUGUUGGCCGGGCGACGGUUGUCCCGGUUUAAGCGUGUAGGCUGGUUUUCCAGGCAAAUCCGGAAAAUCAAGGCUGAGGCGUGAUGACGAGGCACUACGGUGCUGAAGCAACAAAUGCCCUGCUUCCAGGAAAAGCCUCUAAGCAUCAGGUAACAUCAAAUCGUACCCCAAACCGACACAGGUGGUCAGGUAGAGAAUACCAAGGCGCUUGAGAGAACUCGGGUGAAGGAACUAGGCAAAAUGGUGCCGUAACUUCGGGAGAAGGCACGCUGAUAUGUAGGUGAAGUCCCUCGCGGAUGGAGCUGAAAUCAGUCGAAGAUACCAGCUGGCUGCAACUGUUUAUUAAAAACACAGCACUGUGCAAACACGAAAGUGGACGUAUACGGUGUGACGCCUGCCCGGUGCCGGAAGGUUAAUUGAUGGGGUCAGCGCAAGCGAAGCUCUUGAUCGAAGCCCCGGUAAACGGCGGCCGUAACUAUAACGGUCCUAAGGUAGCGAAAUUCCUUGUCGGGUAAGUUCCGACCUGCACGAAUGGCGUAAUGAUGGCCAGGCUGUCUCCACCCGAGACUCAGUGAAAUUGAACUCGCUGUGAAGAUGCAGUGUACCCGCGGCAAGACGGAAAGACCCCGUGAACCUUUACUAUAGCUUGACACUGAACAUUGAGCCUUGAUGUGUAGGAUAGGUGGGAGGCUUUGAAGUGUGGACGCCAGUCUGCAUGGAGCCGACCUUGAAAUACCACCCUUUAAUGUUUGAUGUUCUAACGUUGACCCGUAAUCCGGGUUGCGGACAGUGUCUGGUGGGUAGUUUGACUGGGGCGGUCUCCUCCUAAAGAGUAACGGAGGAGCACGAAGGUUGGCUAAUCCUGGUCGGACAUCAGGAGGUUAGUGCAAUGGCAUAAGCCAGCUUGACUGCGAGCGUGACGGCGCGAGCAGGUGCGAAAGCAGGUCAUAGUGAUCCGGUGGUUCUGAAUGGAAGGGCCAUCGCUCAACGGAUAAAAGGUACUCCGGGGAUAACAGGCUGAUACCGCCCAAGAGUUCAUAUCGACGGCGGUGUUUGGCACCUCGAUGUCGGCUCAUCACAUCCUGGGGCUGAAGUAGGUCCCAAGGGUAUGGCUGUUCGCCAUUUAAAGUGGUACGCGAGCUGGGUUUAGAACGUCGUGAGACAGUUCGGUCCCUAUCUGCCGUGGGCGCUGGAGAACUGAGGGGGGCUGCUCCUAGUACGAGAGGACCGGAGUGGACGCAUCACUGGUGUUCGGGUUGUCAUGCCAAUGGCACUGCCCGGUAGCUAAAUGCGGAAGAGAUAAGUGCUGAAAGCAUCUAAGCACGAAACUUGCCCCGAGAUGAGUUCUCCCUGAC